rnacentral:rRNA from 1 species
CGCCUCCCUCCGCCGCCACUACACGACUACCGUACGGGACGGGACGAGCGAGGUAGGGUAAGUUUGUCGCAAGUACGGGGAACCGUACGACGCAGACAACGACCGCGUGGAGGAGUAGUAAAUACCCUUCGGUAGUGUAAACUACCUUUCGUAUAGGAAGAUAAUGACGGUACCUAUAGAAGAAGCCCGGCUAACUUCGUGCCAGCAGCCGCGGUAAUAC